CCAGCUUGCUGGGUGGAUUAGUGGCGAACGGGUGAGUAACACGUGAGUAACCUGCCCUUAACUCUGGGAUAAGCCUGGGAAACUGGGUCUAAUACCGGAUAGGAGCGUCCACCGCAUGGUGGGUGUUGGAAAGAUUUAUCGGUUUUGGAUGGACUCGCGGCCUAUCAGCUUGUUGGUGAGGUAAUGGCUCACCAAGGCGACGACGGGUAGCCGGCCUGAGAGGGUGACCGGCCACACUGGGACUGAGACACGGCCCAGACUCCUACGGGAGGCAGCAGUGGGGAAUAUUGCACAAUGGGCGAAAGCCUGAUGCAGCGACGCCGCGUGAGGGAUGACGGCCUUCGGGUUGUAAACCUCUUUCAGUAGGGAAGAAGCGAAAGUGACGGUACCUGCAGAAGAAGCACCGGCUAACUACGUGCCAGCAGCCGCGGUAAUACGUAGGGUGCGAGCGUUAUCCGGAAUUAUUGGGCGUAAAGAGCUCGUAGGCGGUUUGUCGCGUCUGUCGUGAAAGUCCGGGGCUUAACCCCGGAUCUGCGGUGGGUACGGGCAGACUAGAGUGCAGUAGGGGAGACUGGAAUUCCUGGUGUAGCGGUGGAAUGCGCAGAUAUCAGGA
rnacentral:rRNA from 1 species